GGUAUUCUCUACUGUUAUCUGCUUAUUUCAAUGAACUAAUUGCAACACCUGGAAUCAAUUCUUUCUCGGCCACUGGGAAAUUACUGCAAUAUCUUUCCCCAGAGUUUACUACUUUUAUACUGUGAGUAUUGUUCAGUAACUUUUUUUCUCUUUUUUCUUAGCACCAUGAUUAUAAUUUCCACAUUUUGUGCAUGUGGGCAUCUAAGUUCUACAAAACUAGGAGAACCUACUGGGUACUCUUUGCCAGCAAAGUAAUCCUUCAACAUCUAAUGGAACAUGUGAUCAGUUGAAAUGCAGACCAUAUUCACUUGAGUUUGUUGAAGAUGGAUAUCUUUAAAUACAAUAAUUUCAAGACUAUAACUACCUGAAUGCAGUCAGGAAAGAAAUCUUACACACAGCACUGGGUUUCUUGGUUGUAAUGUACACAAGAGAAGUUCAACUGCUGCUUUUCAUUGUACGACUUCAGGACGUCCAUCAGUACAAAACACAUUGCAGUUGUGUUGUUGCUGCAGGAAGUGAUAUCAUGCCAACGUUUUCAUGAAAUCUCUGUUCAGAUGACUAUUUCAUAAUUUUAUGUGAUCUGUCUUAAUUCUAAAAUAUUUAUGACUAGUUGAUACUGAGUAGUGUGAGCUUUUUCUCUAAUUGCUUUCUCUUGAGAGGUUUCAUCUCGAGAAGCAGUAAAGUAACUGGGGAAUACAUGCAUGACUUGAUUUUACCAUCCACGCCUAGACAAUUUUUCAGACAAUGUUUAUGUUACCUUUUUCCAGUUAAAAAAACAAACAAACAAACAAAAAAACCACAAUCUUUUACCUAUAGAUUAGUUUUAAAGAUCAUUGAAGUAAGGAUAAAAGUUCUGAUUAAACACUGAAGGUACUGUAACCUUAACAAAUAAUGCUUACCCAGUUAAAGGUAUAGGAUUUUCUUAGGUUAUAAUAAUGCACUUUUAAAACUCUGUUAGUUUUCAAACUCUAUGAGCUCUUGAAGCAAAUCUAUUCAACUUCUGGCCAUGAUAUUUUAAUACACACCACAGCAAAGGUCAUGAUUUUUCUUUUGACUAGGGAAGUAGAUAAAUUCUGUGAUUUUUGGUGUUCAGAAAAACAUUUUAUAGUGGAAGGAUGAAAUGACCCGAAACUUUGAAACGCGGUUAGAGUAAAUCAUCUGUAACACUUUGAACGGCCAACAUACAACUUCCUGUUUAAAAACUAUGACUAAAAUUGGAGUAUGUCUGUAAUAUUUGAAUCUCACCUCAGCACCUAUCAGAACAACAGCACAGCAUUACUAAUUACUCUGGAAAAAUAGAUAGAAAUGUUACAAAGCUUUUAAGUAUGGCAGUAGAAAGUUUCACCAAUUAUGAAAGUUAAAUAUUUGCAAAUUGGAAAACAAAAGUAACAAGUUAUUUUGCUGAUGGUUUUGGAGGUGUACCAUAGAUUUAAUUCUGUAAAAUAAUAUUAGCUGGAAGAUAUGCAGCACUUCUUGUCCCAGCUAGGAGUGACAACAUUCGUGUGAUUUAUUGAGUCUAUCAGAGUAUCUGUGGCAUUUCACUGCAUAAUGACACAAAUGCAUAUGCAGUUGUGCUACAGCACAAAGCAGUCCUUUACAGUCCUGCAGACAGCUCAUCCUGUGACACUUCUGCAUUGAUUAGCACUAUUCCUUGGGAUUUAUUUCGCUCUGAUGAGAUUGUGGAGAGAGAUUUGUAAAUCUCUGAGGCAUGCUUUGAAAGUAGAGAACUGUCCAAAACUAUCCUGAACUUAGAAGUUUCAAUUACUUAUUAUGAGAAAUACUGUGAAAUCUAACUCUUAUCAAAAACACAAUUCAAUUUAGGAAUACCAAAGAUUUAAAUUCUCCCUUCUAGCUGUAGAUGUCCCUGUUCGUUGCAGGGAAAUUGGAUGAGAUACCCCUUAAGGGUACCUUCCCACUCAAAAAGUUCUGUGUACUGCUACAAGAUCUUUAUGCCAUGAAAUUUUCAGCUUUGUUUUUUUCUGUCUCAGAAACUGAUUUGAAAAACAGCUUUGAGCUCUGAGGGAAGAGAAAUUCUUCCCCAUUGAUUUCAUCACCCCUUUGUCUAAAUCUUCCUGCAAACAUUACAGUUUAUGUGUUGACUUAAGCAUCACUCAGUUGCUGUUUGACCAAGGUAUGAAUACUAAGUAUGGCAUUUACACUCAAGUCGUCUUUUUGGUACUAAGUGUGCAGUAUCAAUAGUAACACAGAACUACUUAUCAAGAAAGAUGAUCAUGCUUUUAUAAUUUUGAAUUUUGGAUAGGAGUGAAUCAAUAAAAAUCUGUCGUGACUUAAAAGGAAAAAAACAGUAUUUAAAUCAGUCUUUUGAUUAGCCAACAAUUUUGAAUUUCUUAAAAUGUGUAAAGGACAUAUAAAUAAAAAAGAAAAUACUUGUCUGGCUCUUUCUAAGUGUCUGUCAAAACAUUUGCAGGCACUAAAAUAGUUUGCUAUACAGAAAAUAUUCUCCUCUGGUAAAAGCAUAUGACUGAACAACAGCUACUGAUUGCUAAGCAUGUCAUAGAUUACUAUUAAGGAUGACAGCAACAACAAAAGAUGCAAGACUGAGAAACAAGAUUUCCCAGGAUUUGCUCUUGCUCAAGUUUGUGAGAAAGGAAAAAGCAAUUUUAUAUUUCUCUGGAGUUUUCAUUCAUUUAAAAUGAAAAUUCUGUCUGAGCUGGCUCUCUCAUUUGAUGAGCCAAAGUGUGCCUCAGCUACUGACCUUUUGCAAUCUUAUAGUCCUAGUGUUCCCCAGUGCAAUUCUAGCAGUAGAUUCGAGCUUCUCACAGGUUAAUUUUGUUGGUAGCUUCUUUUGCUGGUGAUAAUCAUCAUACCUCAUGUUAUUUUUUUUCCUGUUGGUAGUUUUUCUAGUGCCAGACAGGACAGCAUCACAGGGUCUUGCUAUGCAUUGAGGCGGGUACUCUUUGUCACCUGAAUGUAAGGAAGGUGAAAGAAAGAUAAAGCAAAGCAUUUCUAAAAACAAAAAUGAAAAGAGAUAAAGGUAGAGAGUUACUUGGAAUAUUGCAGUAUGUGAGUUAAUUUAGGAUCUUUUCCACUACAACUUCAAAACCAGGCUUUGAUACCCUUAGCUCCUCUCAAAGUGGGAUAAGAACAGCUUCAUACAAUACCUAUCCAUCUAAAAUAAGGAUUUUUCUGUGCUAAGGUGGAGUGUUCACAUACUCUUCAGAUCACCGCAAAAGUCAAAAGCAACACAAUUAAAUGUAUUCCUCCUUAAUGCAAAUGAAACACAUCUUGAAAACAUGUCAGUAAUUGACACUA